UCCUACGGGGCGCAGCAGUGGGGGAUAUUGGACAAUGGGGGGAACCCUGAUCCAGCGACGCCGCGUGAGUGAAGAAGUAUUUCGGUAUGUAAAGCUCUAUCAGCAGGGAAGAAAAUGACGGUACCUGACUAAGAAGCCCCGGCUAAAUACGUGCCAGCAGCCGCGGUAAUACGUAUGGGGCAAGCGUUAUCCGGAUUUACUGGGUGUAAAGGGAGCGUAGACGGCAGCGCAAGUCUGGAGUGAAAUACCGGGGCCCAACCCCGGGGCUGCAUUGGGAACUGCCAGGCUGGAGUGCCGGAGAGGCA
rnacentral:rRNA from 1 species